UCAUGCAUGUGAACAAUUACAUAGGACUGAAAGUUAUCAUCUGAAAUGAUGGCAAAAUAAUUGUGAAAUGUAAUGUCAGACACAGUGAAAAAGAUGCGGCCAAACAUGACUGCCACAGAAUGCUGCAGAAUAUAAUUAUGUCAAACAAUGAUGUGAUUUUUUUUUCUUUCUGUGGAAAAAUGUACAAUAACAAUGAAUAAAAUCAAAAUCAUCAACACAUAACUGGGAAACUGUAACAACCAUUUCUAUGCUGGGGCAUAGAUGAUUAAAAGAAAAAAUAACAUAGCUAGAAGGUGACAUUAAAACUGCACCUGGCAUUAGAUGCAAAGGUUGUCUAAAAGAAUCAUAGAAUCCUAGAACAGUUAGGGUUGGAAAGGACCUUAAGAUCAUAUAGUUCCAACCCUCCUGCCAUGGGCAGGGACACCUCCCACUAAACCGUGUCACCCAAGGCCUUGAACACCGCCAGGCAUGGAGCAUUCACAAGUUCUUGGGCAACCCAUUCCAGUGCCUCACCACCUUCACAGUAAAGAACUUCUUCUUUAUAUCUAAUCUAAACUUCCCCUGUUUAAGUUUGAACCCAUUACCCCGUGUCCUACCACUACAGUCCCUAGUGAAUGGUCCAUGGAGGAUUUUACAUUUUCCAAGUUUCCUUUGCUCCAGUGCAGUCUUUUUAGAGAAGUAAUACUCAUCAGCUGUGUAUGGCUACAAAAAGAGUGUGUAAUCCAUUCUUGAAAUCUAAAAGAUAUGUUAACACAUCUUAUGUCCGUGUAUCUGUAGACCUUGAAAGUUGAAUUGCUGAAAUUGAGCCCUUGCUAAUGAGGAACACUAGGCUAGUGCUCAAAACUGUGCCCUGUCAUACCACAUCAUCAGGUGUACUCUUAAGGUUUCUUACAUGGAAUAAGAAAUCAUCCUUCAUUCUUAAUAUGCUGUCAGCUAAAGACACUGACAAUUUAGGAGAACAGGGCAUAUGGUGUCCUCACAAACUUACUAGAGGUGUGCUUUUAUUGAGACCUGCUCUGACUGCCUAGCAUGAGGAAGAGAACAUUUUCAGUUCAUAUCGUACAGGGAUGGAGGUGAAGGGAACAUUUGAGCCAUCCAAAGUUGAAUUUAAGAAAGAAGAAUAUGGAGCUGGAAAAGUCAUGGUGUGCUUGUGGAGAAGGGAUGAUCACUCAUUACGAGAGAAGAUGGUUUUCAAGAAAACUGGAGAUAAGUAAAGGUACAAGUAAACAGUUGAAAUCAGGAAGUUUGAAACUGGUUUGGAGAAAGGAUAUCCUCUAGUGAAUAAAGCCAUGAACAGCAUAGUUUUUUCCCUAGUAAAGAAUUGAAAUUAACUAAAGCACAGACAACUACAGCAUAAUUAUUUAUGCUGGUAUUAAAUAUAAAUCUAAAUACUUGGAAUAUGCAUAAUGUUCUCUUAAGUUCACUAGAAGAAAAGCUGCAUCUUGUGCAAAAAAAGAAACAAAUAAAAGCAGAUCUUUAAACAUGAAAUAUGACUGUAUGGGCUUUCAUGGUUCUUUUCAUAACCCUCUUUAUGCAUUUUAUUUUUUUUAAUUAAAUCUUUUACUGACGUUUACAGAUGUAAAAAAAAUCUAUACCAUAUGUAUAGCUUUUAAGGGGAAGGGUUGUCUAUAGAAGAUGAUAUUGGCUUAUAAGUAAAAGUAUAUUAAAAUUUGAUGUUCAAUAAAGCAAGAUGCAACUUACCAACAUG